CGUAGGGAGCGAGCGUUGUCCGGAAUUACUGGGCGUAAAGGGUGCGUAGGUGGCCUAGCAAGUCAGAUGUGAAAUCCCCGGGCUUAACUCGGGGGGUGCAUUUGAAACUGCAAGGCUUGAGUGCAGGAGAGGAAAGCGGAAUUCCUAGUGUAGCGGUGAAAUGCGUAGAUAUUAGGAGGAACACCAGUGGCGAAGGCGGCUUUCUGGACUGUAACUGACACUGAGGCACGAAAGCGUGGGGAGCAAACAGGAUUAGAUACCCUGGUAGUCCACGCGGUAAACGAUGGAUACUAGGUGUGGGGGAGAUACAACCUCCGUGCCGCAGCUAACGCAAUAAGUAUCCCGCCUGGGGAGUACGGUCGCAAGACUG
rnacentral:rRNA from 1 species